CACCAGCAGCAUGGCAGCUCCUCCUUCUCCAAAUCCAGACCGAAGCCUCGUGGCCGAGAAUGCCACAGCACCUCCUUCCAAAAACAUCAGCCUCACCGUAGAUGAUACCAUGCUUCUUUACAAGCCAGACUACAUAGACACCGAGUUCACCACUAAAAACAUUAGGGACUUUAACCUAAUGGUUGCAAAAAUGACAGACCCACAGAGAGACUCCAUAUGCUCCAUAGAUUUUGGAGGAAUGCUUAUGAUCCCACAGAGCGACAAACUAGAUAGGAACUUCUCUGCAUGGCUGGUAUCCGGCGUAAGAGUCGCGGAGUACGUCCUGCACGAUGGCAACUCUUCCGUCGCUCUGAUGGAUGCAGACUCGUUUGGCCGUAUAAUCAGCGUGCCAUCAUCAGGUAUUCCUGUUCCAAAAAAAUUACUGCCACAACAGAAAGAGGCCAUAAUGGGGUUGUUAGACAUGCCUCGCAUAAUGUCGAGGGCCCACAAUAAAGAAGUGCUUGACAAUUUUGUCGGCAAGAAAUUGAGCUAUGCUGAGAACGAGGAAUUCCUCUGUUCUUUCGCGGCCUAUUCUGUCGCUACAGUACUUUCACCUUUGGCUGAAUUGCCAUGGGAAGUAGCAGCAGCGCUGGUCGACGUGCGUUCAAUUGGGUCUUAUAAUUGGGCACAGUACGCAUUAGACUUCCUCGUUGAAAAAGUUGCAAUUACACAGAAAGAUAUGAAAGAGAUGAAACCAAAAAUCACACUAAAUGGCUGCCUCGUAUAUCUCCAGGUAUUCUACAUGGAAAUGAUAACGGAUGGGAGAGACCGCAUCGAUCGUUCAAUCACACCUAGGAUGGCAGCAUACCAAGCAGAUAAGAUCAAGGCCAUGAUUUUGAGUUCGAAGAGAGGGUCCAACACUUGCCUUCUUGCAAGGUAUGGACGUCGUCAGUUCGCCCGCACAACACUUUUGGAAGACUGGACUGCUGACUUACAAGGUAGAUGCUGACUGCUACGCGGACCACAGGACGAACGCAACCAGAAACAACGACAAUGACAACAGUGAUAAAGCGGGCAAAAUCGUGAAAAUGGCGGUCAUGUUGCUGGUGCAGGAGAACAAGAAAAACAUGGAGACAAUGGCAGAAAAGCUUGAAAGGGUUAGUGGAAAACAAGUUAUGAACGACAAAGAUUCAGUGACAAACAUACACCACCUGAAUAAACAGACGGGUUUAGUUAGAUCUGUAGCAGCCGGUAAGAAUUUUAAGAAUUGAGACCCAAAAUAGUUGGAUGUGGGGCACAUCGUAAUUCGUAUUUUUCCCCGACGCAGUUGAGGCAUUCAGCUCCAUGCCAGAAUAAGACAAGUCAAAUGAAAAAAGAAACCCCAACGGUAUGAUUGA